GAAUGCUGACAUAAGUAACGAUAAAGCGGGUGAAAAGCCCGCUCGCCGGAAGACCAAGGGUUCCUGUCCAACGUUAAUCGGGGCAGGGUGAGUCGACCCCUAAGGCGAGGCCGAAAGGCGUAGUCGAUGGGAAACGGGUUAAUAUUCCCGUACUUGGUGUUACUGCGAAGGGGGGACGGAGAAGGCUAUGUUGGCCGGGCGACGGUUGUCCCGGUUUAAGCGUGUAGGUGUGUGUUCCAGGUAAAUCCGGUUCACUUUAACACUGAGGCGUGACGACGAGGCACUACGGUGCUGAAGCAACAAAUGCCCUGCUUCCAGGAAAAGCCUCUAAGCAUCAGGUAACAUCAAAUCGUACCCCAAACCGACACAGGUGGUCAGGUAGAGAAUACCAAGGCGCUUGAGAGAACUCGGGUGAAGGAACUAGGCAAAAUGGUGCCGUAACUUCGGGAGAAGGCACGCUGACACGUAGGUGAAGUGAUUUACUCAUGGAGCUGAA
rnacentral:rRNA from 6 species